AUUGAACGCUGGCGGCAGGCCUAACACAUGCAAGUCGAGCGAGCGGCGGACGGGUGAGUAAUGCCUGGCAAUUGCUCAGUCGAGGGGGAUAACAGUUGGACACGACUGCUAAUACCGCAUACGACCGGUUUGCUCAGGUGGGAGUAGCUAGUUGGUUAGGUAAUGGCCCACCAAGGCGACGAUCCCUAGCUGGUCUGAGAGGGUGAUCAGCCACACUGGAACUGAGACACGGUCCAGACUCCUACGGGAGGCAGCAGUGGGGAAUAUUGCACAAUGGGGGAAACCCUGAUGCAGCCAUGCCGCGUGUGUGAAGAAGGCCUUCGGGUUGUAAAGCACUGUCAGCGAGGAGGCGUUACUCGCAGAAGAAGCACCGGCUAACUCCGUGCCAGCAGCCGCGGUAAUAC
rnacentral:rRNA from 1 species